GACAGAGGUCCCGAGCGUUAGGCGGAAUCACUGGGCUUAAAGCGUGUGUAGGCGGAUGCCUAAGUACCUUAGUGAAAUCCCACGGCUCACCCGUGGAACUGCUUGGUAUACUGGGUGUCUUGAGCCACUUAGGGGCUACCGGAACAAAUGGUGGAGCGGUGAAAUGCGUAGAUAUCAUUUGGAACGCCAAUGGUGAAAACAGGUAGCUGGGAGUGUGCUGACGCUGAGACACGAAAGCCAGGGGGAGCAAACGGG
rnacentral:rRNA from 1 species